CUGCGGACGAGUACGGGGAGGAGUUUGCGAUGGGAGGCGCUUGCAGGGGCUCCCCAGUUCUGCGCUGUGAGCCCGGGCACAAAGAGACCUCUGCACUCGAGCCGCAGGACCGCCGACUCGAGGUGGAAGCAUCUCUCCGCCUGCCUGUGUCGCUCCAGACACGUUCACGAGGCCACGGUGGCCCUAACAGCAUCGGAGGAGUGGCCAAGAUGACCCGUCCUCUCCUCAGUGCGCCCGUGGGGCGGUAGAGACCAGCACUCACCGCACUCACACCGCAUUCAUGCCUGUCUACUGUGAAAUCCGUGUAUGCUGAGACCUGGACCUCAGAGCUGCCAGCCUGACUUGGGAGCUAACGUUGUCCAUGAGAACGCCAUUGUCUUACUGACCUCCAGGAUGGGCACACGAGGGCCAGGGGACAGGAUCUCUCUGGUCACACACACUCCCCGGAGGACGUCUUUGCAGAGCGCAGCAGGUUCCUGGGGCAGAGUCGGGAGAAGGGGAUUUCCGAGUGCUUCCGGAUGGCCCAGGCCGCGCGGGGAGGCCGCCUUGCAGAUAAGUAUUCGAACUUACCGGCCCACAGCCUCCCAGCCUGCCCGCUCCUGGUCUGUGCAGGCACACGUCCCCAGGUGGGAGGGGACCUUGGUGAUGUGGCUCAUUCACUUUUCUUCCUCUGUGCCACAAAGAAAGAGCUUGUCCCCACGUGAUGGGACCCCACGAAAGGUAAUUUUUGCACCCCGCUUUGGGCGUCCAGGCUAGUAUUUUGGAAAGCCCACCGGCAGGCACUGCCGAGGGGCCGAGUUGAACGGCUUCCUCUGAGAAGUGGCAGAUGUGGUCUCAGAAGGAGGCUGGGUCUGUCCUCGGUACCGGCCCCUCGUCGUCCUGUUUAUGCGACUUGGCCAGGGCUCCUUUGCCUGGUGGUCAAGUGGGGACGGCAGCCACUGCCCGGAGGACCCCUUCUUCUCAGCGCCACUCCUAGACCUGUGCCCCACGUCCCAGGUGCCGGCAGCGAGUUCUGAAAUGUGUGGGGCCACUGACUCUUCUAGCCCAGGUCUGCCAGUUGAUGAAGGUGGCUUAUCUGCCACCCAAAGCAAAACCCGGGAGAUGGUCCGAGCCAGAAUCAGUGGGCAUCUGACGGAGGGGCGGGCAGAAAAAUAACUGUGGCUGAGCAGCACCAGGGCUCCUGCUGUGUCCCACCCACUGCCACUGCUGUGCACUGCGGGCGACUGUCGGGGCUGGAAGGGUCCCACGGCUCUGGGGUGGGGGGGCAGACUUUCCAGGACUACACAGCAUGGUGGAGCUGGGGUCCACACUCCCCACUCCUGACUCUGUUCCGUCUUUCCUGGGUCCCAUUCUGCUGUUGUCGGGGACCAGGGAAGUGGGUGAAAACUGUUCCUGGGUGGGAGGCAGGGAGGAGGAGGAGGGUGAUGUGCCUGGGCCCCGCCUCUCUGGCUCUCAAGCCUUCCUCUUGUUAACAGAGGAUGCUGCCCAGGCCCGGGGCUGGGUCUGGGCCUGGGAGGGGGCUGCUUGCAGUUUUCUCCUGCAGUGUGGUUGGCUCUUUUGUCUUCCAGGAUGGGCCUGUGGGGCUGUACGUGGGAGCCGGGAGCUGGCCCGGGCUACCGAAGUGUUGGCUGGGCGAGGCCAGCACACGCACGGACCAAGCCCUUCUCUCAGCCUGACGAUCCAGAAGCGAACACCGUAGACGUGGUUCUGCCCUCGCAGAUGAUCGCAUGAGAACGUGCCCUGUCACAGUCUCGGUGAGGCAGUGAGCUCCCCGUCCUGGGAGGUGACCCCGCCGCUCCGGGACUCCCGGCCUGGUCUCGUCGUUGGAGCCCGCGGGACUCCGUCCGCAGGGGCACGGGAGCAGCCUCCGGUGGUUUUCUGGAAUCCUCGCUCUUUCUCCCAAGACCUUCUUCUGCCCGACUCCUGGGAUGGAGCCUCUCCUGGUCGAUGCUCAGGGACAUGGGGACCUGGCCAGGGAGGCCAGCUCCAGGGGUGCGAGGGCGGCCGGCAGCCGACCGCCCCCUCUGCAGCCGCCUGGACCCGCCUCCGGGGCCUUCACUUUCUGACCUUGCGCAGACUUGGCUCCUCCUUGAAUGUCUGCUGGUGGGAGGAGCCAGCCUGGGCAGAGACCCCACUGACCGCACCCUCCCCAAGGCCGGUCCCACGGACC